GACGAAGGGGGCUAGCGUUGUUCGGAAUUACUGGGCGUAAAGCGCGUGUAGGCGGUUUGCCAAGUCGGGUGUGAAAGCCUUGAGCUCAACUCAAGAAAUGCACUCGGUACUGGCAGACUAGAGGACCGGAGAGGAUAGUGGAAUUCCCAGUGUAGUGGUGAAAUACGUAGAGAUUGGGAAGAACACCAGUGGCGAAGGCGGCUAUCUGGACGGUUUCUGACGCUAAGACGCGAAAGCGUGGGGAGCAAACAGG
rnacentral:rRNA from 1 species